rnacentral:rRNA from 1 species
UAGGGAAUCUUCGGCAAUGGGGGGAACCCUGACCGAGCAACGCCGCGUGAGUGAAGAAGGUUUUCGGAUCGUAAAGCUCUGUUGUUAAGGAAGAACGAGUGUGAGAAUGGAAAGUUCAUGCUGUGACGGUACUUAACCAGAAAGGGACGGCUAACUACGUGCCAGCAGCCGCGGUAAUACGUAGGUCCCGAGCGUUGUCCGGAUUUAUUGGGCGUAAAGCGAGCGCAGGCGGUUAGAAAAGUCUGAAGUGAAAGGCAGUGGCUCAACCAUUGUAGGCUUUGGAAACUGUUUAACUUGAGUGCAGAAGGGGAGAGUGGAAUUCCAUGUGUAGCGGUGAAAUGCGUAGAUAUAUGGAGGAACACCGGUGGCGAAAGCGGCUCUCUGGUCUGUAACUGACGCUGAGGCUUGAAAGCGUGGGGAGCGAACAGG